rnacentral:rRNA from 1 species
AUUGAACGCUGGCGGCAGGCCUAACACAUGCAAGUCGAACGGUAGCACAGAGAGCUUGCUCUCGGGUGACGAGUGGCGGACGGGUGAGUAAUGUCUGGGAAACUGCCUGAUGGAGGGGGAUAACUACUGGAAACGGUAGCUAAUACCGCAUAACGUCGCAAGACCAAAGAGGGGGACCUUCGGGCCUCUUGCCAUCAGAUGUGCCCAGAUGGGAUUAGCUAGUAGGUGGGGUAACGGCUCACCUAGGCGACGAUCCCUAGCUGGUCUGAGAGGAUGACCAGCCACACUGGAACUGAGACACGGUCCAGACUCCUACGGGAGGCAGCAGUGGGGAAUAUUGCACAAUGGGCGCAAGCCUGAUGCAGCCAUGCCGCGUGUAUGAAGAAGGCCUUCGGGUUGUAAAGUACUUUCAGCGGGGAGGAAGGUGUUGUGGUUAAUAACCGCAACAAUUGACGUUACCCGCAGAAGAAGCACCGGCUAACUCCGUGCCAGCAGCCGCGGUAAUACGGAAGGUGCAAGCGUUAAUCCGAAUUACUGGGCGUAAAGCGCACGCAGGCGGUCUGUCAGUCGGAUGUGAAAUCCCCGGGCUCAACCUGGGAACUGCAUUCGAAACUGGCAGGCUAGAGUCUUGUAGAGGGGGGUAGAAUUCCAGGUGUAGCGGUGAAAUGCGUAGAGAUCUGGAGGAAUACCGGUGGCGAAGGCGGCCCCCUGGACAAAGACUGACGCUCAGGUGCGAAAGCGUGGGGAGCAAACAGGAUUAGAUACCCUGGUAGUCCACGUCGUAAACGAUGUCGACUUGGAGGUUGUGCCCUUGAGGCGUGGCUUCCGGAGCUAACGCGUUAAGUCGACCGCCUGGGGAGUACGGCCGCAAGGUUAAAACUCAAAUGAAUUGACGGGGGCCCGCACAAGCGGUGGAGCAUGUGGUUUAAUUCGAUGCAACGCGAAGAACCUUACCUACUCUUGACAUCCAGAGAACUUUCCAGAGAUGGAUUGGUGCCUUCGGGAACUCUGAGACAGGUGCUGCAUGGCUGUCGUCAGCUCGUGUUGUGAAAUGUUGGGUUAAGUCCCGCAACGAGCGCAACCCUUAUCCUUUGUUGCCAGCGGUCCGGCCGGGAACUCAAAGGAGACUGCCAGUGAUAAACUGGAGGAAGGUGGGGAUGACGUCAAGUCAUCAUGGCCCUUACGAGUAGGGCUACACACGUGCUACAAUGGCGCAUACAAAGAGAAGCGACCUCGCGAGAGCAAGCGGACCUCAUAAAGUGCGUCGUAGUCCGGAUUGGAGUCUGCAACUCGACUCCAUGAAGUCGGAAUCGCUAGUAAUCGUAGAUCAGAAUGCUACGGUGAAUACGUUCCCGGGCCU